UUUUUUUUUGUUGUUGUUUUUUUUUUGGUCUGCUUGUUUGAAAGUAUUUCUGACAUUUUCCUCACACUUCUAGGUCAUCCUUAUAGGAAGGACAACCUCCAAUAUUUCUCCGCCUUUAAUUUCCCUCCCAUUCUUAGCAGAUAAGUUGCAAUAUCAAACUUCGCUUUAGGAUGGAGAUUCGAAUGGUGGAGACUGACCGUUAUGUCCUGCUGGUGUGUAUCCCAGUUUGGAGGCCUCCCUUUCUACCUUCUUUCAUGAAGAGCCUUCAGGUGUGGUUCCGCUAGGAAUCCCCUAAAUCCUAGUCUGUGUGUGGCACCCACCACACCUCAAUGUGCAGUAAAACUCCUCUCAAAUCUCUUAAGGUCCCUAAUUGUUCAAUGUUCCUGAUGUGGAAGGCAGAUGACCAUCUGCUCAGGUCUCAUCCUACUGCAUUUAUCUCAGAUGUUGUUUCCCUAAUUAGAUAUACUCUGGUACCACAAGAACAGCUUUGUAGUAGUAUUGCACUCCAGCUUUAAUUUACAUCUUCCUCAUGGUUAAUGAUGUUGAGCAUCUUUUCAAGUCCCUGUUUUCCCUAUUUCUAUCUGUAGAUGUAUCUUCUUUGGUGAAGUGACUUGAGUAUAUAUAUAUAUAUAUAAAAUCUAGUCUAUAUCAGAUAUAUAAUUUGAUUUACAAACAUCUUCUGGUUAGGCUGUAGCCUAUCUUUCCAUGAUCUUUACAGGAUUUUGCAAAAAGCACAUCUUAAAAUUUGAAGAAUGAAAUCCAAAUGAUCAAUUUUUAAUUAUUGUGAACUGUGCUUUCGAUGUCAUGUGUAAGAAGACUGCCUAAGCCAAGGUCACAAAAGUUUCCUAUAUUUCUAGAGUUUGUGUAGUUUCAGGCUUUAAAUAUGAUCCAUUUUGAGGGUUUUUUUUUUUUUUGUAUAUUACACAUGGUAUGCCUCAAACUUUAUUUUUUCAUACAGAUAUGUAACUGUUCCAGUACUGUUCAUUAAAGACUAUCCUUUCUCCACUCAUUUCUUUUGUACCUCAUCAAAAGUCAGUUGUCAUGUACAUGUGGUCUAUUUCUAGACCUUCUGUUCUGAUCUAUUUGCCUAUCUUGAUGCCAAGAUGAUACUGUUUCAUGACUCUAACUUCAUAAGAGUUUUUGAAAUCAGAUAGUGCUUCUCCUCCAACUUUGCUCAUCUUUUUCAAAGUGACUUUGGCUCUUCUGAGAAUUUGCAUUUCCAUUUGAACAUGACAGUCAAGUGAUCACUUCUACAAAAAGCCACCCAGUGAGCCCAUCCUGCUGCCCCUGUGCGCUCUUCCUCCUUGGGCCACAUCUGGACUCAGGUGAUAAGCUGGGGCGAGGGGAGGGGGCACCUCAUCUGUUUCUCUUAUCUCAGGUGUCUCUCCUUCAUCGUCUGAUGUCCAGUGUCUUCAGAAGCAUCACUUCACACAUUUUGUCUUUCUUUUUCAGUUAUUUCAGGCAGGAGGAUAAACCCAGUC
rnacentral:lncRNA from 1 species